UGGGGAAUAUUGCACAAUGGGCGCAAGCCUGAUGCAGCCAUGCCGCGUGUAUGAAGAAGGCCUUCGGGUUGUAAAGUACUUUCAGUCGGGAGGAGGGUGGUAAGGUUAAUAACCUUAUCAAUUGACGUUACCGACAGAAGAAGCACCGGCUAACUCCGUGCCAGCAGCCGCGGUAAUACGGAGGGUGCAAGCGUUAAUCGGAAUUACUGGGCGUAAAGCGCACGCAGGCGGUUGAUUGAGUCAGAUGUGAAAUCCCCGGGCUUAACCCGGGAAUUGCAUCUGAUACUGGUCAGCUAGAGUCUUGUAGAGGGGGGUAGAAUUCCAUGUGUAGCGGUGAAAUGCGUAGAGAUGUGGAGGAAUACCGGUGGCGAAGGCGGCCCCCUGGACAAAGACUGACGCUCAGGUGCGAAAGCGUGGGGAGCAAACAGG
rnacentral:rRNA from 1 species